GGCGGUUUGUCCGAGUGGUUAAGGAGUUGGACUUGAAAUCCAAUGGGCUCUGCCCGCGCAGGUUCGAACCCUGCAGCCGUCG
rnacentral:tRNA from 23 species